rnacentral:tRNA from 1 species
AAGAUAUUAGUAAAAUUAUUACUAAGUCUUGUCAUGACUUAAUUACUAGCUAAAUUCUUGUAUAUCUUAU